AUGCUGCAUAUGAACAACAUGAGCGUCCUGCAGUUUUGGGUUUCCCUAAGCAAGCUCCUUUAUGCUGUGCACCACACCAGUCGCAGCAGUUCAGGACCGGGGCUAAAUUUCACACACCUGGGUUUCUCUAACUAAAAAGAGGGUUAGAUGACUGCUACACACAGCACUGUGUCAUCAUAAGCACACCUGUUGCUGGAUUUCUCGGAACUAAUGAACCUCAUAUAUUCACAAUGCACUUACUGGAGAAACUGAUGGGCGGCAGGAGUCACAUUACACUAGGGAUGGGCAAUGGCAAGUUUCAACGGCGGCUUUAAAUAUGUCUCAUCCAAUGAGAAUUCGGAGCUGAGCCAUAAAGCUGAAUCUACAUGAAUCUAAUGCCUUUUGCAUCUGACGUCUUGCAUGCUGUUCACUUCUACAGUUUGGGAACAGCGGGCCAAGUGGACCAUGAACAUCCCAUACAUCUCGAUGUCAAACCCUCAAGCUGCCGAAGCCCCUGGGAAGGAUGGAUAUUUCCGUGUGACGUGCAAGAGAGCGCUCAUGUGCACAGUCACCAAGGCUCCCGACACGAAUGGAGACACACAGGCAGUCAACGAUAAACAUGUGGGUGUACUGGGAAAUGAUAGAGAGCGACAUCCACGCCAGACAGACAGAGCACACCUUUCUAGACUUGUUGUGUGUGUGUGUGUGAGAGACAGAGACAGCCAUAGAAAGAGACCGACUAUGGACUAAUGAUUAAUGACAUUUAGAUUAUUAUUCAACUUCAGAGAUGUCCCACCCCCUUAACACACUCCAGAUGCAUAAGGAGAGAUGAGGUGAAGAUGAUUUAACCCGUAUUCUCUGGGAUUUUGGCGAAUAUGAUGGAUGGCAUGGAAGAUGCUCAGGGAAAGAGAGAUGCAUAAAUCAUACUUUGGCAACGGGUUUGACGCCGUUGAUUUAUUCGUUUCAGAAAAAGUGUUAUUAGGGGAGGAAUUUGUCGCCUUCUAUCUUUAAAGGGAUAGUUCACCUCAAAUGAC